GUAGCUGUGGUCUAGUGAUCAAGACGCCUUUGCAAACAUGUCUUGCAAACACAAGCAUCCAGGUUAAUUCCUUACUGUUGAUCUUCGGUCCUCAGUGAAUUCUCUUGAAGCAAGGAGAUCGUGGGUUCGAAUCCUGCUCGCUACA
rnacentral:tRNA from 1 species